AUUGAACGCUGGCGGCAGGCCUAACACAUGCAAGUCGAACGAGUGGCGGACGGGUGAGUAAUGUCUGGGAAACUGCCUGAUGGAGGGGGAUAACUACUGGAAACGGUAGCUACUACCGCAUACCAUCAGAUGUGCCCAGAUGGGAAUAGCUAGUUGGUGGGGUAAAGGAUCACACAGGCGACGAUCCCUCGCUGGUCUGAGAGGAUGACCAGACACACUUGAACUGAAAAACGGGCCAGACUCCUACGGGAGGCAGCAGUGGGGAAUAGUGCACAAUGGGCGCAAGCCUGAUGCAGCCAUGCUGCGUGUAUGAAGAAGGCCGUCGGGUUGUAAAGUACUUACAGCGGGGAGGCGUUACACGCAGAAGAAGCACCGGCUAACUCCGUGCCAGCAGCCGCGGUAAGAC
rnacentral:rRNA from 1 species